rnacentral:siRNA from 1 species
CGGGUUAUUGUGAUCGACGGCGC